rnacentral:sRNA from 1 species
UUUCUGGAUUCUUCUUGAAACUGGUAAGACAUGUUUUAAUUCUCUGUAAUAAAGUAUACUCUUUAGAUUAAUUUACCCUCCCUUCCUCUCCCAUUUCCUUUUCUUAGAACCACAUACUGCUUUUCUUUACAUUAUUUUUUUCAGGUCAACCAUCAAAACCUUUGUGAUACCUUCAGUUCCGGUGUGACACCCACGUAAUCUUUGUGAUACCUGCAGCUCUGAACAAAAAAUCGUCGCAGUGACACUCGUUCUAUUCCUGACAUUGUCGUUGAUUUAUGGCGCUAUCGUCGCACCCCAACCCCAAUGGAAGAGUGCAAUCAUUCAAAUUAUCAUAGGAUACAGUUUUUUACUGUCAAUAUAAUGUGUUUAUAAUGCUGUUAAUGUGUUUAAAAUGCUGUGUAUUCAUGCUUGUGCAUUCGCGCACAUACUUGCUGCACAAGAACUUUGACAAUUUUAAUGUGUUUUGAACUUUGAAACUUGUGCAUUUGCGUUUACCCAUUCGCACAAACCUUGUGUAUAACUUUGUCAUUUGUAUGUCUGUGCAUUUGCACUUACCCACUGUACAGAAUAUAAUAUUUUGUGACGUUUGUGCAUUUGCGCUCACCCACUGCGCAAUGAGCCUAUUGAUGGGCCGUCACGUAUUGUUGUUUUGUUUGAAUUGUUGUGAGGCAGCCCAUUGGUAGCCUAAAGUCACUGCGGCCAGUAACGCCAAACCAUAAUAAAGUAUUUAGUCCU